rnacentral:rRNA from 1 species
GAUGAACGCCGGCGGUGUGCCUAAUACAUGCAAGUCGUACGCACUGGCCCAACUGAUUGAUGGUGCUUGCACCUGAUUGACGAUGGAUCACCAGUGAGUGGCGGACGGGUGAGUAACACGUAGGUAACCUGCCCCGGAGCGGGGGAUAACAUUUGGAAACAGAUGCUAAUACCGCAUAACAACAAAAGCCACAUGGCUUUUGUUUGAAAGAUGGCUUUGGCUAUCACUCUGGGAUGGACCUGCGGUGCAUUAGCUAGUUGGUAAGGUAACGGCUUACCAAGGCGAUGAUGCAUAGCCGACCUGAGAGGGUGAUCGGCCACAUUGGGACUGAGACACGGCCCAA